GACGAACGCUGGCGGCGUGCCUAAUACAUGCAAGUAGAACGCUGAAGGCGGAGCUUGCUUCUCUGGAUGAGUUGCGAACGGGUGAGUAACGCGUAGGUAACCUGCCUGGUAGCGGGGGAUAACUAUUGGAAACGAUAGCUAAUACCGCAUAAUAGCAGUUAUUGCAUGAUAACUGUUUGAAAGGUGCAAUUGCACCACUACCAGAUGGACCUGCGUUGUAUUAGCUAGUUGGUGGGGUAACGGCUCACCAAGGCGACGAUACAUAGCCGACCUGAGAGGGUGAUCGGCCACACUGGGACUGAGACACGGCCCAGACUCCUACGGGAGGCAGCAGUAGGGAAUCUUCGGCAAUGGACGGAAGUCUGACCGAGCAACGCCGCGUGAGUGAAGAAGGUUUUCGGAUCGUAAAGCUCUGUUGUAAGAGAAGAACGAGUGUGAGAGUGGAAAGUUCACACUGUGACGGUAUCUUACCAGAAAGGGACGGCUAACUACGUG
rnacentral:rRNA from 1 species